AAAGUCGUAACAAGGUUUCCGUAGGUGAACCUGCGGAAGGAUCAUUAACUGGUUGGUGGUGGGGGUUGGGUUGGGUAGACUAUCCACUGGUGGUGGUUGUGGUGGUUGGACAAGUCUAUCCACUGUGCCACUGUGGUGUGAUGUGGUGUGGCUUUUCCUGACUCUCAUUGCAAUAAACGCAGGACAGCUAUUGCAGCUGUCUUGUUGUUCACGCUUGGAUUUGUUUGUCAAAUAUUGGAUGGAUUUGGAUGUAUGAUAACUUUUAACAAUGGAUCUCUUGGCUCUU
rnacentral:misc_RNA from 1 species